AAUUUUGGAAAUAUUUUUAUAAAUAGCCGUUGGAAGUCGAAAGGGUUGCGUCGGUGUAUAUCGGCGAUAUAGAUAGAUGCGGUCUUCAGUCGUUUCGUUCUUCUCUCGAUCUGGAAGACUAUAGCCAUAUCCGCAAUCCAAGAAAUUAUCAACAUCUCUAUUAUAAAAGAUAAAAGAAGGAGAUCGCCUUGUGUCUUCUAUGCAGGCUGUUGAAUUGCUCCUUUGUUGUCUGCAAUUACAGUGAUUUAACAAGAAUUCAAACAUCAGGGACAACUGUUGGUGCACCAAAUACAACCACUUUAGGGCAUAUUGGAUGAAAUGUAUUUGGACUGAAAAGGAUGUGAUACAGGAUCUUGUGUUGGCCAUAACUCAGUCUUACCCAUUGUUGUGAUUACAUGAUUUUGUUUGGUAAAAAACUAUAGUGAAUAAGAAUAUGUUCAUUUGGCCAUAUAGCAGUAUAGUUUCAUUUCAUUAUCUAUUUUUUUUUUUUUUUUUUUAAUUUGAUCCUGAUUUUUAGAUUUCAUAUUGAUUUUGAUCACAAGAACCCAGAAAUAAGAACAAAAUUGGUAUAUAACCUUAAAAUAAGGAUCAAAAUUCGAAACGAUGAGCAUUGAAAAAUAUCAAUUUAGAACUAAACACGGUUAAAACUAUAAAAAAACUAGGGCCAUUUUUGUACUUCAAUAUUUUUUCUAUUUUUAUUUUUUAUGUUAAUGUAUUAUUAUUAUAUUAUUUUACUUUAAAAUUUUAAAUAAAACAAUGUUUAUUCCAUCAUUGAUUGUCUAUGUUUUUUUUUCAAUUUAUAUGAUUAUAUCUCCUUAUACAACAUAAUUAUUUUAUAAUUAAUCUAGACAUAAAGAAUGUUGCAUAUAUCUUUUAAACACAUUGCAAAUGUAUUAUAAACUAGUUUCAUAAUAUAAGAUGUUAUAGGUGUUAUAAUGGACGACACAAUGUGAGCAUCAGAUAGGCCUAAAUUAAAUAAAUGAAUUAUGUUAGACUUUAAAAAUUAACGACAUGUAGGAUUCGAUAUAAUUUUAUCUUUUGAAAUCUACCGUAAAGUUGUAAUGAGAAUCUAACAAAAGUAGUGACAUGUUGAGUACAAUUAAAGAAAGAUAUAUAUGAUGCCAAAAUGUGUGGUGUAAAAAUUUCAAAAUGUCUAGAGUGUACGAUAUCAGGAAUGUACAUUUUGAAAUUCUUUUAUGUCAAAAAUUUAAUGAUAUUUUAUUUAUAAAAGAGAUUAAUUUUGGUAAUGGGGUUGUUUGUAAGGGCAACACUUUUUUGCUACAAAAUGAGUUGAAAAAGGAUGUAAUUGCCAAAAAAGAAGAAAUUAUGGAGCACACUUCCAAUCCUCGCGCACUAGAUAAAUGAAUGUAUGGCAGGAGGAUGCAAUAAUGAUUGAAGUGAAGGCGAUAAAUGGGUUAAAAAAGAGAGAAUAAAAAUCAUGUUAGACAUUCUACAUAACACCACGCUAUAUAUUAGCUUUACUUUUUAGGUGAAUGAUGGUAAUUAACAUCAUAUAAUUAUUAAUUACUUUAUUUUUUA